UUUUAGAAAAUUGAACAAGUGUCAAUAACUUAUUCAAACAACCCGCUUUAGCCUACGCUUAAAGCGGCGUCACUUCGGCUAAUUUCUGAUAGGCCGAAAAUGAUGUCAUUUAUCAGGAUAAAAAAUCCGAAUUCUCGGCGGAUUUUUGAAAAAUUAGAGAAUAUACGCGCAAAGGUUUGGCUUGCUUAACACUUCGCGCGCGAACAAAACAAGCGGGCUACUCCCGUAGAAUUAAUUUGAAAACCUUAUUGCACGGCGGUUCGAUUCCGCCCAUCUCCAAAA
rnacentral:tmRNA from 1 species